rnacentral:lncRNA from 1 species
AUACCUCAUUAGCAUUACCUCUUCCAAACACCCAUGUUGACCUUUCAACAAACAUAUUUUUCGCUUCUUUCUCAUUUCUAGGCCCUCUUCCUUCUUUGAAUCCCACUUUUGGAUGGAUAAUAGUUCAGGAUUAAAUACCAUAAAUUAAUUUCUAGUUGCUGAGAACGGGAGAUUUUAAAUUUUGCAUUUAGAAGACAAGAAAUUCAAUCUGAAGAGGCCCCAUAUUUCCAGUUAAGUGACCACUCAGAAGGGAAGGACAGCGCUCAAUAACCAAGGUCAAGAGUUGGGUUUAGGGUUUGUGGCGAUUUUUUUUGGGGGUGGCAAGAAUAAGCCGUAGAUUAAUCUCUUAAAAUAAAUAUAGCAAGAAAAGCAUGCCUAAAAUAAUUCAUACAUAUACAUAUAUUAUCAUAUUACAGUGUUUUACAGUUUUAGAUCAGUACCAGCUAAAAUAUUCUUUGGAUUGUUUUUGCUUUUUUACCAGCCUGUUCAACAGAAUUAUAAAAGGUGACAAUAAUGCUAUAAAUGUCUCCUAUCCCAUGCUCAUCCCUCCUCUCAUCUUGCUCUGUUUCUGGAGUACUCUAGGUAUUCUGCAUCUUUGCCUUUUUCCCCUUCUAGUUUCUAAACACAUUUCUUAUCUACUUGCAGAUCACUUAUCAGACUGAAUAAAAUCCAUAGGUACAUUCGGUGUCUGACCUGUAACAAGGCACCCCACAUUAUUUUGCGCCUUUGAUAAAGACCAGCUUAUUCAAACUUGUGAGAAAACAAAAAUAGCAGGGUUCAAGUAAAAACCAGUAAAAUUCAGUUCUUCACAGUGGCGGUUUUUUGACAAGACCCGGCCGAAAGAUUUCACGAACAGUAAAAUCCCAGAAUGUUCUCAGAAAUACUAUCCACUGUACUGUCUGGGUUGCUUAAUACUGGCCCAAACCUCAGUGUCCUAGGAUAAUAACCCAAGACAAUUUCCCAGUCCUUUGAAAUAGUUGACGUCCCAAGAUGUCAAAUUGCCUGGAGUGCUUUAUUUUGGUUUGAAAUUUAAAAUUUCCUCUAGAUAAAGAUCUAGAUUUCUCUUUGCAAGUCAAAGGCUAGUUACUAUUAACAGCUGUUUCAAAAGUGCUCUAAAUAGGUCACCAUUCAGGUGUACCAACGCUGCAAACUGGAUCUAAGAAGAUCCAAAUUUGUCACCACUCACUCACAUUUUAACUCAAAGGUAGUACUCACAAUUGGCCUUGUUUACAUAGGCAUUCCAUUAAAAUUAUCCAUGCAUUCAUUCUAUUUGCACCCAUUUCUUUCAAAAAUGUCCAUCUGUAAUUAAAAUCAGCUCCUCUGCCUGACAUCUCAUUUACACUACACCGAAAUUAAACCCCACUAGGAGAUCACGUAGAUUAUGGGGCCGAGGGCCCGCCCGCUGACUAGGUUUUCACUCGCGUCUCCUCCAUGCCCCAGGUCCCCUCCGAUUGCAGUCCUGGGGCAGGACUGAGCAAAAAGUCCCGUAAAGCUGGCGUGUGCCCCACUCCGCCAGGAAGCCUCACCGACGUCCUGUGCUUAAAUGUUCUGACACCCCCCAAAAGCAGUUGUUUUUAAAGGCUGUCUGUGGGACCAAUGCGUUGUCAAACAGAUGCCGUCCCGCAUCCCCUCCCCCUAAAUGACACAGAAGAUUCCAGCGUAGGGGAAGGGCCACGAAACCCGCAGGGCA